rnacentral:rRNA from 1 species
CCCUUAGAUGUCCUGGGCCGCACGCGCGUUACACUGAUGCAUUCAACGAGCUUAUAACCUUGGCCGAGAGGCCUGGGCAAUCUUGUUAACGUGCAUCGUGAUAGGGAUAGAUUAUUGAAAUUAUUAAUCUUGAACGAGGAAUUCCUAGUAAACGCAUUUCAUCAAAAUGCAUUGAUUACGUCCCUGCCCUUUGUACACACCGCCCGUCGCACCUACCGAUUGAGUGGUCCGGUGAAGUCUCGAGAUUGUGGCAAUCUCCUUUAUUGGAGUUUGACCGCGAGAACUUGCCUAAACCUUAUCACUUAGAGGAAGGUGAAGUCGUAACA